rnacentral:rRNA from 1 species
AAUGAACGCUGGCGGCGUGCCUAAUACAUGCAAGUCGAGCGAACAGACGAGGAGCUUGCUCCUCUGACGUUAGCGGCGGACGGGUGAGUAACACGUGGAUAACCUACCUAUAAGACUGGGAUAACUUCGGGAAACCGGAGCUAAUACCGGAUAAUAUAUUGAACCGCAUGGUUCAAUAGUGAAAGACGGUUUUGCUGUCACUUAUAGAUGGAUCCGCGCCGCAUUAGCUAGUUGGUAAGGUAACGGCUUACCAAGGCAACGAUGCGUAGCCGAACUGGGAGGGUGAUCGGCCACACUGGAACUGAGACACGGUCCAGACUCCUACGGGAGGCAGCAGUAGGGAAUCUUCCGCAAUGGGCGAAAGCCUGACGGAGCAACGCCGCGUGAGUGAUGAAGGUCUUCGGAUCGUAAAACUCUGUUAUUAGGGAAGAACAAAUGUGUAAGUAACUAUGCACGUCUUGACGGUACCUAAUCAGAAAGCCACGGCUAACUACGUGCCAGCCGCCGCCGUAACAC